GCUUACACAUGCAAGUCGAACGAUGAAGCCCUUCGGGGUGGAUUAGUGGCGAACGGGUGAGUAACACGUGGGCAAUCUGCCCUGCACUCUGGGACAAGCCCUGGAAACGGGGUCUAAUACCGGAUAUGACCGUCCAUCGCAUGGUGGAUGGUGUAAAGCUCCGGCGGUGCAGGAUGAGCCCGCGGCCUAUCAGCUAGUUGGUGAGGUAGUGGCUCACCAAGGCGACGACGGGUAGCCGGCCUGAGAGGGCGACCGGCCACACUGGGACUGAGACACGGCCCAGACUCCUACGGGAGGCAGCAGUGGGGAAUAUUGCACAAUGGGCGAAAGCCUGAUGCAGCGACGCCGCGUGAGGGAUGACGGCCUUCGGGUUGUAAACCUCUUUCAGCAGGGAAGAAGCGAAAGUGACGGUACCUGCAGAAGAAGCGCCGGCUAACUACGUGCCAGCAGCCGCGGUAAUACGUAGGGCGCAAGCGUUGUCCGGAAUUAUUGGGCGUAAAGAGCUCGUAGGCGGCUUGUCACGUCGGUUGUGAAAGCCCGGGGCUUAACCCCGGGUCUGCAGUCGAUACGGGCAGGCUAGAGUUCGGUAGGGGAGAUCGGAAUUCCUGGUGUAGCGGUGAAAUGCGCAGAUAUCAGGAGGAACACCGGUGGCGAAGGCGGAUCUCUGGGCCGAUACUGACGCUGAGGAGCGAAAGCGUGGGGAGCGAACAGGAUUAGAUACCCUGGUAGUCCACGCCGUAAACGGUGGGCACUAGGUGUGGGCAACAUUCCACGUUGUCCGUGCCGCAGC
rnacentral:rRNA from 1 species